rnacentral:rRNA from 1 species
UACGGGGGGGCAAGCGUUGUUCGGAAUUACUGGGCGUAAAGGGCUCGUAGGCGGCCAACUAAGUCAGACGUGAAAUCCCUCAGCUUAACUGGGGAACUGCGUCUGAUACUGGAUGGCUUGAGUUUGGGAGAGGGAUGCGGAAUUCCAGGUGUAGCGGUGAAAUGACGUAGAUAUCUGGAGGAACUCCGGUGGCGAAGGCGGCACGGCUGGACCCCUGACGCUGAGGCGCGAAAGCCGGGUAGGGACGAAACGGG